UACGUAGGGUGCGAGCGUUGUCCGGAAUUACUGGGCGUAAAGGGCGCGUAGGCGGCACAGCAAGUCGGGAGUGAAAGCCCGGGGCUCAACCCCGGAAUGGCUUUCGAAACUGCUGAGCUAGAGUACAGAAGGGGCAACCGGAAUUCCCAGUGUAGCGGUGAAAUGCGUAGAUAUUGGGAAGAACACCUGAGGCGAAGGCGGGUUGCUGGGCUGAUACUGACGCUGAGGCGCGAAAGCCAGGGGAGCAAACGGG
rnacentral:rRNA from 1 species